UAGAGUUUGAUCAUGGCUCAGGACGAACGCUUGCGGCGUGCCUAAGAAAUGCAAGUCGAACGGACACCGGAGCAAUCCGGUGUUAGUGGCGAACGGUCGCGUAACACGUAGGCAACCUGCCCUGAAGUGGGGGACAACAGCCCGAAAGGGCUGCUAAUACCGCAUGUGAACAACGAAUUGCAUGGUUUGUUGUUCAAAGGCUUCCAGCAAUGGGGGUCGCUUUGGGAUGGGCUUGCGGCCUAUCAGGUAGUUGGUGGGGUAAUGGCCCACCAAGCCGACGACGGGUAGCUGGUCUGAGAGGACGAUCAGCCGGAUUGGGACUGAGAUACGGCCCAGACUCCUACGGGGGGCAGCAAUUAGGAAUCUUGCGCAAUGGGCGAAAGCCUGACGCAGCGACGCCGCGUGCGGGAUGAAGGCCUUCGGGUCGUAAACCGCUUUUAACGGGGAAGAAGAAUGUGACGGUACCCGUUGAAUAAGCCCCGGCUAACUACGUGCCAGCAGCCGCGGUAAUACGUAGGGGGCGAGCGUUGUCCGAAGUUACUGGGCGUAAAGCGCGCGUAGGCGGUUGCCUAAGUCUGGGGUGAAAGGUUCAGGGCUUAACCCGAACAGUGCCUUGGAUACUGGGCGACUUGAGUGCCGAAGAGGAAAGCGGAAUUCCUGGUGUAGCGGUGAAAUGCGUAGAUAUCAGGAGGAACACCGAUGGCGAAGGCAGCUUUCUGGUCGGUAACUGACGCUGAGGUGCGAAAGCGUGGGGAGCGAACGGGAUUAGAUACCCCGGUAGUCCACGCCGUAAACGAUGAGUGCUAGGUGUCGGGGGUAUCGACCCCUCCGGUGCCGCCGCUAACGCAUUAAGCACUCCGCCUGGGGAGUACGGCCGCAAGGUUGAAACUCAAAGGAAUUGACGGGGGCCCGCACAAGCGGUGGAGCAUGUGGUUUAAUUCGUCACUAACCGAAGGACCUUACCCAGGCUUGACAUCGCGUGAAAGGCUGUGAAAGCAGUCCCCCUCGCAAGAGGCACAAAGACAGGUGUUGCAUGGCUGUCGUCAGCUCGUGUCGUGAGAUGUUGGGUUAAGUCCCGCAACGAGCGCAACCCUCACCCCAUGUUGCCAGCGUCAAGUCGGGCACUCUUGGGGAACUGCCCGUGCAAGCGGGAGGAAGGUGGGGAUGACGUCAAGUCGGCAUGGCCCUUACGCCUGGGGCUACACACAUGCUACAAUGGACGGCAACAAACGGUACCGAGACCGCGAGGUGGAGGCAAUCCGAGAAAUACGUCCUCAGUUGGGAUUGCAGGCUGCAACUCGCCUGCAUGAACGUGGAAUCGCUAGUAACCGCAGGUCAGCUAAACUGCGGUGAAUACGUUCCCGGGCCUUGUACACACCGCCCGUCAAGUCACCUGAAUUGUCUGCAGCCGAAGCCGAUGGCCUAACCCGGUUUACUGGGAGGGAGUCGUCGACGCUGUGGGGAGUAAGGGGGACUAAGUCGUAACAAGGUAACCGUA
rnacentral:rRNA from 1 species